AUUGAACGCUGGCGGCAUGCCUUACACAUGCAAGUCGAACGGCAGCACGGGGCAACCUGGUGGCGAGUGGCGAACGGGUGAGUAAUGCAUCGGAACGUACCUUUCAGUGGGGGAUAACGCAGCGAAAGCUGUGCUAAUACCGCAUACGCCCUGAGGGGGAAAGCGGGGGAUCGAAAGACCUCGCGCGAUUAGAGCGGCCGAUGCCUGAUUAGCUUGUUGGUGGGGUAAAAGCCCACCAAGGCGACGAUCAGUAGCUGGUCUGAGAGGACGAUCAGCCACACUGGGACUGAGACACGGCCCAGACUCCUACGGGAGGCAGCAGUGGGGAAUUUUGGACAAUGGGGGCAACCCUGAUCCAGCAAUGCCGCGUGAGUGAAGAAGGCCUUCGGGUUGUAAAGCUCUUUUGUCAGGGAAGAAACACCGGCUCUAACACAGUCCGGGAAUGACGGUACCUGAAGAAUAAGCACCGGCUAACUACGUGCCAGCAGCCGCCGUAAGAC
rnacentral:rRNA from 1 species